rnacentral:rRNA from 1 species
ACGGGUGAGUAACACGUGGGUAAUCUACCUCCGGGUACGGAAUAACGCUGGGAAACCGGCGCUAAUACCGUAUAAGCUUUAGCGAGGAAAGCGGUCGCAAGACCGCGCCGGGAGAGGAGCCCGCGGCCGAUUAGCUAGUUGGUGAGGUAACGGCCCACCAAGGCGAAGAUCGGUAGCCGGCCUGAGAGGGCACACGGCCACACUGGCACUGAAACACGGGCCAGACUCCUACGGGAGGCAGCAGUGGGGAAUCUUGCACAAUGGGGGCAACCCUGAUGCAGCGACGCCGCGUGAACGAUGAAGCCCUUCGGGGUGUAAAGUUCUUUCGGCAGGGAAGAAAAAUGACGGUACCUGCAGAAGCAGCUGCGGCUAACUACGUGCCAGCAGCCGCGG